rnacentral:rRNA from 1 species
CCUACGGGAGGCAGCAGUAGGGAAUUUUCCGCAAUGGGCGAAAGCCUGACGGAGCAAUACCGCGUGAGGGAUGACGGCCUGUGGGUUGUAAACCUCUUUUCUCAAGGAAGAAGUUCUGACGGUACUUGAGGAAUAAGCAUCGGCUAACUCUGUGCCAGCAGCCGCGGUAAUACAGAGGAUGCAAGCGUUAUCCGGAAUCACUGGGCAUAAAGCGUCUGUAGGUUGUUUAGUAAGUCUGCUGUUAAAGACUGGGGCUUAACCCCAGAAAAGCAGUGGAAACUGCUAGACUCGAGUGUGGUAGAGGUAGAGGGAAUUCCUAGUGUAACGGUGAAAUGCGUAGAUAUUAGGAAGAACACCAACGGCGAAGGCACUCUACUGGGCCAUAACUGACACUGAGAGACGACAGCUAGGGGAGACGAAACGGGUAUUAGACUACCCGGUAGUCCUAGACCGUAAACGAUGGAUACUAGAUGUUGCACGUAUUAACCCGUGCAGUAUCGUAGCUAAGGCGUUAAGUAUCCCGCCUGGGAAGUACGCUCGCAAGAGAGACGACGAAGAAGUAAGUAGNGUUGAGAGUUGCGAGCGACGACGAGGGAGAG